GAUGUGUAGGAUAGGUGGGAGGCUUUGAAGUGUGGACGCCAGUCUGCAUGGAGCCGGCCUUGAAAUACCACCCUUUAAUGUUUGAUGUUCUAACGUGGACCCGUGAUCCGGGUUGCGGACAGUGUCUGGUGGGUAGUUUGACUGGGGCGGUCUCCUCCUAAAGAGUAACGGAGGAGCACGAAGGUUGGCUAAUCCUGGUCGGACAUCAGGAGGUUAGUGCAAUGGCAUAAGCCAGCUUGACUGCGAGCGUGACGGCGCGAGCAGGUGCGAAAGCAGGUCAUAGUGAUCCGGUGGUUCUGAAUGGAAGGGCCAUCGCUCAACGGAUAAAAGGUACUCCGGGGAUAACAGGCUGAUACCGCCCAAGAGUUCAUAUCGACGGCGGUGUUUGGCACCUCGAUGUCGGCUCAUCACAUCCUGGGGCUGAAGUAGGUCCCAAGGGUAUGGCUGUUCGCCAUUUAAAGUGGUACGCGAGCUGGGUUUAGAACGUCGUGAGACAGUUCGGUCCCUAUCUGCCGUGGGCGCUGGAGAACUGAGGGGGGCUGCUCCUAGUACGAGAGGACCGGAGUGGACGCAUCACUGGUGUUCGGGUUGUCAUGCCAAUGGCACUGCCCGGUAGCUAAAUGCGGAAGAGAUAAGUGCUGAAAGCAUCUAAGCACGAAACUUGCCCCGA
rnacentral:rRNA from 1 species